rnacentral:tRNA from 1 species
UGGGGUGUGGCUCAGUGGUAGAGCACUUGUGUAGCAUACAUGAGACCCUGGUUCUAUCCCCAGUACUGCAA